CCAAAUCUCAACUUCAAACUAUCAAAAAAAAUUUAAAAGUUCAAUAUCUAAAUAGCUUCCAAAAACCAAAUAAUCCAAAUGAACAUAAACUUAUAAGCUAACAAUGUCCAAAAAUAACAUCCUAAGCAAAAUCCUAAUGAUGACCAUUCCCCGACCUAGCCAUCACUCAUCGCCCGAACUAAGUGUACCUGAAAAAUUAUCAACAAAAGAGAAUGAGCUCAAAGCCCAAUAAGGAACAUUAUUAUAGUCCAUGGAUCAAAUAUUUCAAGUUCACUUGUAAAAUAGGAGAUAUUAUAACUAAUUAUUUUCAUAAACCUUUGAGUCAGUUUUGUCAAUACAUUCAAAACUUUUAAUUGAACACUUUCAUUUCUGAUUCAAACAUUUUCAUAUCAAAUUCAGUCAAAACAUUCAAAUCAUUUAUUUACUUUGGUCAUCAAACAUUAAAUGAUGUCCAAUUAGGUGAGACUUUUCAAAUAAGUGGCUAGCCUCAAAUUGUUCAUUUAAGGUGGACGAAACCAAACACUACUAGUACUAGUAACCUCUAACCAAACCCCUAGAGGUUGGGGUCCAAAUCAAUUACAUUCCCCACCAAGAAAUGUAAAUGUCAACUAUUAUAUUUCGUCGACAAGGGUCAAACAAACCAAAAUCAAACACUUAUUUCAAUUAUUCAAAUUUGCAAAACAUAAUAUCUCCAUAUUUCUCUGUUGUGAACAAAAUGUAAGGUUCUAACAUACUUUUCAUGCAAAACAUAUUUGAUUCAUGCAUAAAACGAAUAAUAACUCAAAGCGUUUCCAAAUGAUGUAUAUAAAAAUUUGUUUCUAAAAAAAAAAAAAAACCUGCAUUAAUUUCCCUUACCUCAAAAGAAGUCUUCAAAAACUUAGGAGAAAAAUAAUUCUUAAAAAUCUACUCCUCACCUAACAAAGUAUAAGAGAAAUAACCAUUAUUAUUUAUCUAAAAUUAUAGGUUUGACAAUCCUAAAAGGUAUUCAAAUUAAUGUUUUUAAUUAUAAAAGAUAAUUUAAUCUAUUCCUAUUUUAGAAAAAUUAAUAAAUUUCUAAUUCAUAUAAAACUUAAAUUUUAUUUUCAAUUUAUUUCUUAGGAUACAACAUAAUUUAAUUAAACUACAAUUUAUUCUACUAAUUAAAUUUUAUGCCACUUAUUAACUUACACUCAUCAUUAGUAUAAUAAUAUUGAUAACUUCUAUUCUCUUUCUUUCAAUUUUUUUUUUCCACUAAACAUAAAUUGUAACCCUAACAAUUCUCCAUUAUUGCUAACAUAAUAAUGUAAAGAUAUUUAUUAACCACCAAACACCAUCCGUACACAUCUUCCUUUAUUAUUAAUAUUACUAUUUUUUUUCUUUUAAAAAAAAUAAAAAAUUCCUCCAGUGCAAGUGUGUUCUUUUUUUUUCCCCUAAUGUUUUCUAAUCCCUUAACCCACAUAUAAUAAUAUAUUUAUUUACUCAUUUAUUUAUUUAUUUUUAAAAAAAUCAUUACUUAGAUCUAUUCAUCUAAAAAAUUUUGAAUUUCCCUUAUUUCAACAAUAGAACAAUCUAUAUUCCCAAUUUCAAUAUUUUGACCUAAAAGUUUUAAAUAGGUUAAGUCUAGCCUAAAUUGAAAUCUUUCAAAGAAAUUUUUUUUUUUUUCAAAAACUUAAGAUUUCCCAAUUUUUAAUAAUAAAACCACCAAUAAUCCUAAAUUUCUAAUAUUUUGAUAUUAAAACGAAUUAAAAAAAAAACUAACCCUAAUCUAAAUUAAAAAAAUAAAAUUCAAAGAAUAACUAACGUGUUUAGAACUAACUAUUGAAUAUAAUAUAUUAAUUUAAGAUUAGAAUCUUACCUAGAAAAAAAACCUGAAUUUCAACUUUAAAUCUCUAACCCUUGAGCCCUACGAACUCCAAUUCUCUACUUCUAGUUAAUAGGGUUUUCUGAACGAAGAAGAAAAGAGGAAAAAUCCAAUUUAUACCUAGGAUUUUUAAUUGUAAAAUGACUCUUUCACCCUCAAUGAAUUUAAUUAAUUAUUUAAUUACUUUAUAAAUUACUAGUUUGCCCCUAGAUUAAAUUUUGGGGUGUUACAGGUAAUCAAGUAAAAGUUAACGAGUUGGAUCGAAACAGGUUCUGACUUUCUGUAGCUGCAUUUAGAAAUGAAGGUUUUACAGGUAAAGAUGUUUCAGACACUUCUUCACCAAAACCCAUGUGUAAAAGGAACAGAUUGAACCGAAAGCUACUUCAUUAUGGUUUUGUGGAGAGUUGCUUUUCUUGAGAAGUUCUAUAUAGGCUUUCAGUUACUUGUGACCUAUUGUGCUUCAAAUCAAUCAAUUUGAUUUUCGUGCCAGAAUGAAAGCAUUGAUUAUACUAGAAGUUCAUGUUCAAGUUUAAAGUAAAGUAAAUAUGCGAAGACUGUUUUUUGUUAUCAAACCUAAUUCCCUUUUUUUUCCUCCAUUUUUUUUUUUCUCAGCUUCUGAGUUCAUGAAAUUACAGUUACAUGGAAUUUGGCCCACAGGAAAUCUCUUUUAGAAAAUCUUAUCCGGUUUACUUCACAAUUUUUUUUUUAAAUGUGAAAAUUAAGAACAAUUGCAUGCUGUUGAUCAAGACAUCCAUGUUUAGCAAUUCAUCCUCUCAUUGAAAUAAAUGUAAAUGUUCCAUUUAUUUAAAAGUUUGCGAAUCUUAAGUAGAUGGCAAACAGAUCAAUAAGGUCCAAUAACAGAACAAAUUAAUGGCUAGUAUAUACUGAAAGAGAACUCAAGGGUAUAAAAUAAAAACAAAAUGAUCCAAACUGCAAAGCAUCAUGGCCAUGGCAAGGUCCUUAUUGUUGAACUGGAUGUCUUUCUUUGAUGUUAAUAGUCGUUGUACCCCCAAAAGAUCUUCCUGUUCCUUCUGAUAUCAAUUAUUCAUUCUAUCUAUCCUAUAAUCUGCACGGAAAACAGAGGAAUGUUAAAUACUGUAUGAAUGAUGAAAAUGAGAAAUGUGGUCUGUAUUAUUAUAUAUACUUACAUGAAACUAGAAGAGGCAAUUCAUUUAGUAAUAUGGUGGAGGAGGUGAAGGAGAGGAAGGGGGUGGUGACUUGUGGUGGUAGACUGGUGGUUGGGAUGAUGGAGAAGGUAGUGGUGGGGACUUAUAGUAAUAAGGAGGUUGAGGAGAUGGUGAUGGAGGAGGAGGUAAUUUAUAGUCGUAGUGAGGAGGGGGUGAUGGUGAAGGUAGUGGUGGUGACUUGUAGUAAUACCACGGAGGAAGAGAUGGAGAGGGAGCCAGAGGUGACAUCGGUGGUAGUGAUUUAUAGUAAUAAGGAGGCAGUGAUGAUGGAAAAGGUGGGAGCGGUGGCAGUGAU
rnacentral:lncRNA from 1 species